rnacentral:rRNA from 1 species
CUGGAAUGGAUCAUGGCCUAAAUCUACAUGGCCCCUGGAUUGGACUGCGGCCGAUCAGGCUGUUGGUGAGGUAAUGGCCCACCAAACCUAUAACCGGUACGGGCUCUGAGAGGAGAAGCCCGGAGAUGGGCACUGAGACAAGGGCCCAGGCCCUAUGGGGCGCAGCAGGCGCGAAACCUCUGCAAUAGGCGAAAGCCCGACAGGGUUACUCUGAGUGAUUUCCGUUAAGGAGAUCUUUUGGCACCUCUAAAAAUGGUGCAGUAUAAGGGGUGGGCAAGUCUGGUGUCAGCCGCCGCGGUAAUACCAGCACCCCGAGUGGUCGGGACGUUUAUUGGGCCUAAAGCAUCCGUAGCCGGUUCUACAAGUCUUCCGUUAAAUCCACCUGCUUAACAGAUGGGCUGCGGAAGAUACUAUAGAGCUAGGAGGCGGGAGAGGCAAGCGGUACUCGAUGGGUAGGGGUAAAAUCCGUUGAUCCAUUGAAGACCACCAGUGGCGAAGGCGGCUUGCCAGAACGCGCUCGACGGUGAGGGAUGAAAGCUGGGGGAGCAAACCGGAUUAGAUACCCGGGUAGUCCCAGCUGUAAACGAUGCAGACUCGGUGAUGAGUUGGCUUCUUGCCAACUCAGUGCCGCAGGGAAGCCGUUAAGUUUGCCGCCUGGGGAGUACGGUCGCAAGACUGAAACUUAAAGGAAUUGGCGGGGGAGCACCACAGGGGGUGAAGCCUGCGGUUCAAUUGGAUUCAACGCCGGG